rnacentral:lncRNA from 1 species
CUUUGACAAUUUUUAACUAAUUAGUUCAUCACUCUGCAAUAUCUUAUUAGAAAUUAACAAGAAUUUGUCCAAAGUACACUGAUGCCCCACUGGCACUAUCAUUUUCCAUGUUCAAUGGACCAUAAAAUUGGGUAAAAAUCUAAUUUGGUAUUAAAACUAGAAAGAUCAAACCAUAGGAAACAUGUGUACUAAGUUUCAAGUUGAUUGGGCUUCAACUUCAUCAGAAACUACCUUGACCAAAAACUUUAACCUGAAGCAGGACAGACGAAUGGACGAAUGAAUGGACGGAUGAACAGACCAGAAAACAUAAUGUCCUUCUACUAUCGUAGGUGGGGCAUAAUAAAAAAAAAACAGAGAGCCUAUUUUAAUAGAUUAGAUAUAAACAAGUCACCAAAGUUUCAUGAUAACAGCUAAAAGCAUUUUAGAGAUAUUGUUUGAAAUACUGGAAGAUCACCCCUUUUUUAUGAAUAAAGUCCAAAUGUUCC